GUACACUCCUGCGGGAGGCAGCAGUGGGGAAUAUUGGACAAUGGGCGCAAGCCUGAUCCAGCCAUGCCGCGUGAGUGAUGAAGGCCCUAGGGUUGUAAAGCUCUUUCACCGGAGAAGAUAAUGACGGUAUCCGGAGAAGAAGCCCCGGCUAACUUCGUGCCAGCAGCCGCGGUAAUACGAAGGGGGCUAGCGUUGUUCGGAAUUACUGGGCGUAAAGCGCACGUAGGCGGAUCGAUCAGUCAGGGGUGAAAUCCCAGGGCUCAACCCUGGAACUGCCUUUGAUACUGUCGAUCUGGAGUAUGGAAGAGGUGAGUGGAAUUCCGAGUGUAGAGGUGAAAUUCGUAGAUAUUCGGAGGAACACCAGUGGCGAAGGCGGCUCACUGGUCCAUUACUGACGCUGAGGUGCGAAAGCGUGGGGAGCAAACAGGAUUAGAUACCCUUGUAGUCCCAU
rnacentral:rRNA from 1 species